UUAAUUUAUUUGCUUAUGCCACUCAGAGAAAAUUCCACUGACAAAACAAGAGUUUCGGGCCCCCGGCGGGCGCCUGGUUCCGGCGCGCAGAGGCGCCGGGGCGGUCCCGCCGAAGCAACGAAUGGUAGUGUUCACAUAGGGUUUGGGAGUUGUAACACUCAGUAAUGAUCCCUCCGCUGGUUCACCAACGGAGA
rnacentral:misc_RNA from 1 species